rnacentral:rRNA from 1 species
UACGUAGGGUGCGAGCGUUGUCCGGAAUUACUGGGCGUAAAGAGCUCGUAGGUGGUUUGUCGCGUUGUUCGUGAAAACUCACAACUCAAUUGUGGGCGUGCGGGCGAUACGGGCAGACUGGAGUACUGCAGGGGAGACUGGAAUUCCUGGUGUAGCGGUGAAAUGCGCAGAUAUCAGGAGGAACACCGGUGGCGAAGGCGGGUCUCUGGGCCUUACCUGACGCUGAGGCGCGAAAGCUAGGGGAGCAAACAGG